UUGCGUUUACUUGAAAUGUCUGCAAAAGGCAAAUCUACAGAGGCAGAAAGCAGAACCGUGGCUGCCUGGAGUUGGGGGAAUGGCUGCUAACAGGACAAUUAGAAGAGCCUGACAAGCAACUACUCCUGUUCCCCACCUGGACAUACACAGAGCCAACACAGCAGUGAAUUACCAGGUCAAGCUCUGAAAAGAUCAAAAUCCGUAAGACCAGGACUGCUUCUCUCUUGGGGGAUCUACUGAUUUAAGAAAAUAUUCCUGAGAGGCUGAGAAGCUGAGCAAUAUUUCUGAUGGCCUUGAGGGGCCAGAAAGACAAAAAUCAGAACACUGGGAUUAUAAUUUCAGACAAAAUAAAGUAUGUUAUAAAGCAUUA